AACGAACGCUGGCGGCGUGGAUAAGACAUGCAAGUCGAACGGAGAAUAUGAAUAGCUUGCUAAUUGUAUUCUUAGUGGCGGACGGGUGCGUAACACGUGAGCAACUUACCCUGAAGUGGGGGAUAGCCUUCCGAAAGGAAGAUUAAUACCGCAUGUGAUCUCCGGAUCAAAGGUGGCUUCGGCUGCCGCUUCAGGAUAGGCUCGCGGCCUAUCAGCUUGUUGGUGAGGUAACGGCUCACCAAGGCGACGACGGGUAGCUGGUCUGAGAGGACGAUCAGCCACACUGGAACUGAGACACGGUCCAGACACCUACGGGUGGCAGCAGUCGAGAAUCAUUCACAAUGGGGGAAACCCUGAUGGUGCAACGCCGCGUGGAGGAUGAAGGCCCUAGGGUCGUAAACUCCUGUCAUCGGAGAGUAAGCCUUGGUC
rnacentral:rRNA from 1 species